UGAGGUGUCGAUUGGGUUCUGAGCAAGCUGCCAUUCCCUAGCUGCUGCCAAAGCCUUGGAGACCACUUCUGAGGGUGAUUGGGGGCGCGACUCAAAUAAGAGUUGGUUUCGUGUGUUCCACAACGCCCACAUAAUCCAAAAGAGUAUGUUUAAAAACACUCCCGUCGGCGGAAGGCAAGUCCAAUUGCUCGAAGCUUCAAGUGCGAUGACUAUUGAUGGGCACAUAGUUGAGCAGAACGGUGAUUGGAGAGGAACGAGGUUCCACACAGUCGCAGCAAAGGUACACUGUAGGAAAAGAUGGUUCACAGAUUCAACUCCCCCGCAGUG
rnacentral:lncRNA from 1 species